GAUCCCGUACGGGUGGUGAAGCUGCUCGUAGUAUUCCUGUUCCGCCCCGUUGGUCCGGACGUCGCUGUCGCGGUCGCGAUAGUCCAGCAGGCAAUCGACCAACUCGUCGGUCAUCGUCCCCAGCCCCCCCAGCGUGUCCCCAUCGGCGACGUUGAUGUUGAUCUUGCUCGCCUGGU
rnacentral:rRNA from 1 species